AUACCACGUGAACGAUGAAUGUCUUCUGAUUGUAAAGUUCUUUUAUUUAGGAUAAAAAGCAUGAUAGGAAAUGAUUAUGCCUUGAUAGUACUAAAUGAAUAAGUGACAGCUAACUAUGUGCCAGCAGCUGCGGUAACACAUAGGUCACGAGCAUUAUCCGGAUUUAUUGGGCGUAAAGGAAGCGUAGGCGGACAGUCUGAUCCAGUGUUAAAUGCAUCUGCUCAACAGAUGUAUGCAUUGGAGAUCACCUGUCUAGAAUUAGUUAGGGGGUACUGGAAUUCAAUGUGGAGCGGUGGAAUGCGUAGAUAUAUUGAGGAACACCAGAGGCUAAGGCGAGUACCUGGGACAUAAUUGACGCUGAGGCUUGAAAGCGUGGGGAGCAAAUGGGAUUAGAUACCCCAGUAGUCCACGCCGUAAACGAUGGGUAUUAGGUAUUUGGAGUUCUCUGAGUGCUGUAGCUAACGCGUUAAAUACCCCGCCUGGGUAGUAUAUAUGCAAAUAUGAAACUCAAAGAAAUUGACGGGGACCUGAACAAGUGGUGGAGCAUGUUGCUUAAUUCGAUAAUACACGAAAAACCUUACCAAGGCUUGUAAUCUUCUGCAAAGCUAUAGAAAUAUAGUGGAGGCUAUCAGAAUGACAGGUGGUGCAUGGCUGUCGUCAGCUCGUGUCUUGAGAUGUUUGGUUAAGUCCCGUAACGAGCGCAACCCUACUCAUUAGUUACCUAGUUCUAAUGUGACUGAAUCGUAAGAUAUAGGAAGGAUGGGGCCAAGUCAAGUCAUCAUGCCCCUUAUGCCUUGGGCUGCAAACGUGCUACAAUGGUAGGUACAAUGUGUCGCAACCUAGCGAUAGGAAGCUAAUCACUAAAUCCUAUCUCAGUCCGGAUAAAAGGCUGCAAUUCGCCUAUUUGAAGUUGGAAUCACUA
rnacentral:rRNA from 1 species